CGCCUGGGGACAACCGCCGGCCCCGGAAGGCCCCUCUCCGCCCUCCCGGCUGCCGGGGCGGCGGGCCUGACCUUCCCACCCCUGGGCGGGCCGCUCCCCUCCCCUGGCGGCGGCGGCUCCCCAGCCCAGAUGCGCCCGGGCGUCCGGAGUGGGCCACCUGUUCCGCCGGCAAGCAGCCUCAGCUUCUGCCACCUCAGCACUACUAAAGAGACCAAUUAGCAGCGACUUCCUGCCAUUAUCCACCGUGGAUUUGGACAUUACCGUGUGACUAGCGACUAUCCAGCCAUCAUUCGGAGUCAGAAGGCACUAAAAAUUUCCCAUACCAAAGCAUUAAAACAUCGCAAGCA